GGGGUUGUAGCUCAAUUGGAAGAGCAUCUGCAUGGCAUGCAGAAGGUUGUGGGUUCGAGUCCCAUCUUCUCCAC
rnacentral:tRNA from 12 species